rnacentral:lncRNA from 1 species
AUUUAAAACUCAAAUCAAAUGAUUCAUAUCGUUAAAUUUAAAGGUUAAUUUCAUAUAGGUUCCUACAAAUAUAGUAAAUUACAAAUAUAUAUAUGUACAAAAUUCAACUUUCAUACGUUGUCCUUGCAAAAAUCCUGAUGUUUUCAAAUAUGUUUAUGCUUUUAGGAAUCGCUAGUAAAAAUUAGUUAACCAUAGAUAAAAUACUUAACUCUAAUUAGUUAAUAAGAUGAAUUGACCUUUUUACCCCGCUUUCAUUAACAGUUGAGACUUUUCGAGGGACAUAUUUGUGAUGAUAAAAAGGUCAUUUCGCUUAUUCAUAAACAAUGCUUUAAUGGUCCAGAGAUACAUAUUUGAAAAUAUUAGAACUUUUGUAGGGACAAUAUAUGAAAGUUGAACUUUAUAGGAAUAUAUUUGUAAGUCACUAUAUUUGCAGGGAUUUGUAUGAAAUUAACUCUAAAUUUAAUAUAAGUUGUUUGAAUGUUUUAGGUG